rnacentral:lncRNA from 1 species
GGGCAGUGAGCCUGGAGGCGGGGGGGAAGAAGGGGGCGGCGCUGGAGGAACUGAGCCCUAAGAUUUUAAGGGCAUGCUCCAACACCCAUUAAAGUCAAUGGAAAGAUUUUCCAUGGGAUGGGUCCAGGGUGCAUCUAGGAUUAUGAAAGUUUUGAUGUCUCUGGGAUGCCUUCUUGCACAUUCAAGUUAUCCCCGCUUGAAAGGAGAACAGAUUUUUCUCACUGGGGCUAGGUUUUAUUCUUAUCCAGCUGGCAAAAGGAGUAAGCCACUGAUUGCAGUAAUGCAAGGAGACUUCUAUUUUCUGAGCAAGACCUUCAAGCUGAAUGUUUCGGCUCUGGUUCAUUGUUUCAUGGACUACACUCAGGAAAAUAGAGUGUAG